rnacentral:tRNA from 1 species
GGUUGUGGCUCAGUGGUAGAGCGCUUAACCUCGCACGUGCGAGAUCCUGGGUUUGAUCCUCAGCACCA